rnacentral:rRNA from 1 species
GUGGGGAAUAUUGGACAAUGGGGGGAACCCUGAUCCAGCCAUGCCGCGUGUGUGAAGAAGGCCUUUUGGUUGUAAAGCACUUUAAGCGAGGAGGAGGCUACCGAGAUUAAUACUCUUGGAUAGUGGACGUUACUCGCAGAAUAAGCACCGGCUAACUCUGUGCCAGCAGUCGCGGUAAUACAGAGGGUGCAAGCGUUAAUCGGAUUUACUGGGCGUAAAUCGCGCGUAGGUGGCCAAUUAAGUCAAAUGUGAAAUCCCCGAGCUUAACUUGGGAAUUGCAUUCGAUACUGGGUGGCUAGAGUAUGGGAGAGGAUGGUAGAAUUCCAGGUGUAGCGGUGAAAUGCGUAGAGAUCUGGAGGAAUACCGAUGGCGAAGGCAGCCAUCUGGCCUAAUACUGACACUGAGGUGCGAAAGCAUGGGGAGCAAACAGGAUUAGAAACCCGAGUAGUCC